rnacentral:sRNA from 1 species
UUAUAAAGUAAGAUAAGAUUUGUGACAGGCCUUCAAAUUGAUUUAGGGUGCGGCUUUGGAUCUUUUGGCUACAGACAAUUUUUUCUUUGAGUAAACGUAUACGCGUAGGAACUAUUAAUGUAUUAGUAUUAGAAGCGACAAGAGAGAGCCCGAAGAGAAGCUUUUGGAAAAAAAAUAGGCUUAAUGUCACCAAUGUCACUGAGACUUUAUAUUCUGUUACUUUCUUUGACAUUGACUGUCAAAAUAGUUCAAGUCUUUGGACAAACUGGAUACUGUCCAACAGAAAAAGAUGUUAUUUCACAAGGGAAAUGUUACACUCUAUUUGAAGCAAAAAUAACAUGGCCUGAAGCAAAAGUAACGUUGUACAUAUAUUUUUCUAUUUUGUAGAAAUAAUUAACCUAAAUAACUUCAUUUGUGAACAAAACUAAAUAUAAUCUUUAGUCUAUC